AAUCAACGCUGGCGGCGUGCCUCAGACAUGCAAGUCGAACGAUUAAAGCUCUCUUCGGAGAGUGUAUAGAGUGGCGCACGGGUGAGUAACACGUAAGUAAUCUACCUUCGAGUGGGGAAUAACGUCCGGAAACGGACGCUAAUACCGCAUAAUGCAGCGGCAUCGCAAGAUGACAGUUGUUAAAGAUUUAUCGCUUGAAGAGGAGCUUGCGGCGGAUUAGCUAGUUGGUAAGGUAAUGGCUUACCAAGGCUACGAUCUGUAACCGGUCUAAGAGGACGGUCGGUCACACUGACACUGAAUAACGGGUCAGACUCCUACGGGAGGCAGCAGUCGGGAAUUUUGGGCAAUGGGCGAAAGCCUGACCCAGCAACGCCGCGUGAAGGAUGAAGUAUUUCGGUAUAGUAAACUUACGAAAAGAUGGGAAGAAUCAAUGACGGUACCAUUUAUAAGGUCC
rnacentral:rRNA from 1 species